rnacentral:rRNA from 1 species
UAACACAUGCAAGUCGAACGGAGAUUCAGAUGAAGCUUGCGAUUCUGAAUCUUAGUGGCGGACGGGUGAGUAACGCGUGGGUAAUCUGCCCUUAAGUGGGGGAUAACAGUCGGAAACGACUGCUAAUACCGCAUAAGCUGGCGGGAACACAUGUUUCUGUCAGGAAAGGUGGCCUCUUAACAAUGCUACCGCUUAAGGAUGAGCCCGCGUCUGAUUAGCUAGUAGGUGGGGUAAUGGCCUACCUAGGCGACGAUCAGUAGCCGGCCUGAGAGGGUGUACGGCCACACUGGAACUGAGACACGGUCCAGACUCCUACGGGAGGCAGCAGUCGAGAAUAGUCUACAAUGGUCGGAAGACUGAUAGUGCGACGCCGCGUGAACGAUGAAUCCCUUCGGGGUGUAAAGUUCUUUUAUAUGUGAGCAGUGCUUCUUAUAUUAACAGUAUGGGGAGAGAGAUAUUAGCAUAUGAAUAAGCAACGGCUAACUCCGUG